CACGGGGGGAGCAAGCGUUGUUCGGAAUCACUGGGCGUAAAGGGCGUGUAGGCGGUCAGGUAAGUGGGACGUGAAAUCCCUCGGCUCACCCGAGGACCUGCGUCCCAAACUGCUUGGCUUGAGUAUGGGAGAGGAUGAGGGGAUUCCUGGUGUAGCGGUGAAAUGCGUAGAUAUCAGGAGGAACACCGGUGGCGAAGGCGCUCAUCUGGCCCAAUACUGACGCUGAGGCGCGAAAGCCAGGGGAGCAAACGGG
rnacentral:rRNA from 1 species